rnacentral:rRNA from 1 species
GACGGAGGAUGCAAGUGUUAUCCGGAAUCACUGGGCGUAAAGCGUCUGUAGGUGGUCAAAUAAGUCAACUGUUAAAUCUUGAGGCUCAACCUCAAAAUCGCAGUCGAAACUAUUCGACUAGAGUAUAGUAGGGGUAAAGGGAAUUUCCGGUGGAGCGGUGAAAUGCGUAGAGAUCGGAAAGAACACCAACGGCGAAAGCACUCUGCUGGGCCGACACUGACACUGAGAGACGAAAGCUAGGGGAGCGAAUGGGAUUAGAACCGUACGUAGUCAGACCAAGAUCCA